rnacentral:rRNA from 1 species
UACGAAGGGGGCUAGCGUUGCUCGGAAUUACUGGGCGUAAAGGGCGCGUAGGCGGCACUGUUAGUCAGGCGUGAAAUUCCUGGGCUCAACCUGGGGACUGCGCUUGAUACGGCAGAGCUUGAGGAUGGAAGAGGGUCGCGGAAUUCCCAGUGUAGAGGUGAAAUUCGUAGAUAUUGGGAAGAACACCGGUGGCGAAGGCGGCGACCUGGUCCGAUACUGACGCUGAGGCGCGAAAGCGUGGGGAGCAAACAGG